AUGAAAUGUGAUCUGGCAACAUUGGAUAAUAUUAAAUUUAUCUGCAAAGCAACAGAAAUGGCGCAGAAGCGUCAAUACAGCGUUGCAUCCUGUUUUUGCGUAGUUUGGUUGUAUUGGUCGUCAUAGUACUGUGUUCGAGGCUGUUGUCUUAGUUGUGUAUUUCUAGUGGUCUGCAACGUAUAUAUAUGAAAGAAGACAUUGUGCUCGCAAUCCAAAUAACUUUUGUUAUAUCUGUGGUAGUUAUGUCGUAGUAAAGCAAAAGGCAAACUAUAACUUCUUUUGUGAAAAAUGCAUACCACGCUUAAUUUGGUGUGAAAAUUGGAGACCAAGACAAGUCCUGGGCUCCUCAUACGAAUCAUUAAGCAACUGGCCAAAAAGUUCCUCAUGGGCCAGAUGUACCGAUACUUACCGCCCCAAAAGAACUAGAAAACGUCAUAUCGUUAGACUCAGAGGAAUCUAAUUCCGACCCAGACGACUCAGAAUUCACACCAGAUUUUAGAGAGCCCGCACCUUCCAAACGAUGCAUGCAAAUUGUUAGCGUCCAGACUUUGUGACAAUCAUUUACUGGCACCUGGCAAAGUUAUGUCAAUAUUUUUCUCAGGAAGGACCGCUAGUGUAUUGCAACAAUAUUUACAGCCACAUCUGAUGUAAACAUAAAAGAAGACUUGAACUCCUUUCCUGAAAAUCCUGGAGCAGUUAGCGAAGAACAGGGAAAGAGGUUUCACCAGGAUGUUAAAGAAAUAGAACGGCGAUACGAAUGCAGAUGGAGCUUAACCACCACUGCUGGAUGUUAAAGCGAGAUAUGCCCUUAAAAACACACAGCCGAAAGUCCGGACAAGGCAGCUUUCUGGCAUAAAGACAAAAAUUUCUCUCAAAAAAGUCUGACUUAAGGUUUUUUUUUUCACUUUUUACUGAAUAAAAUAAUAAAUCAUUUUAGAAAUAUUGUUUUUUUUUCUACCAGCCAAAGUCAUAUAAAAUUAAUUUUAGAAAUAAAAAUAUCUAUCAAAAAUUUUAAUUUUCUUGACCUGUGUAAUAUAGUCUUUGACAAUGAAACAUUGAGUUGGUAUGUUAAGUUUGCAGGACAAUUGCCAUCAACAGUACACCUAAAACUAAUUACAGUAUAUUACAUGUUAUAAUCAAUACCAAAAUAAAGUAUAAAGGAAUUGCGUGCAAAAUUAUUACAAAAUUCAUUCCAGAUUGUUAGUCGUAUUGAUUAAAAGAGCGAUAUAUUGUAUCUCCUUCUGACUUUUAAGGGUUUUUUGUUAGUUUUUAAGUUAAUUGCAACUUGUUAUUGGGUAACCAAGGUGUAAAUUAAACUCACAAAUCAAUCACCGAAUAAAAAUUGGAUAGCACCAGAUGGAUAGCAAAAAAAAAAUUGUCAAUUUAAAAUACCAAAAUCGGUUGAACUGAGGUGGCUUUUACUUGACGAAAAUCCAUUUAUCAAAAUAAAUAAGAACUAAAAGUUCAGAUUUUCACGAAAUUAUAUAUUUAUACAUGACAAUUGUUUCGACAACACCGUGUCUUUAUCAAAUGUGAUAAUUACAAACUACCUGCUAAAGUCUGUUCAUAGAUAUAAGAAAGUGACUAACUGAUACGAAUUAAGGAAAGACCCCGGCAAGCUAUAAGAAUGAAAUAUGGCCGAACAGGUCCGUACUUUGUUUAGAAUUUAAUUAUUUGGGGUUUUGUUAGGAAAGAUACUAAUAAUAUUUAUUUAUUUAUGUAUGUAUUUAUGGUUAAAUCUAAAGUAAAAUUACGAAUUAUUUUUAUUACCCACUUAAAUUACUUAAAAUUAUUCACAGUAUCACUAUCGCUAUCAUCGCCUGUUCUAAUUAUUAUUUGUUCUAUAUUAUUUGCAAUAUGGAUAUACGAUUGUUCUGCUUUUUCUAUAUGUUUAACAGAAUGAGAGUCAAAUAAACAUUGUUUAUAACUUCCUUAGUCUCAAUAGAAUAGUGUUUGGGCGGGAGUAUCACCUGAGAUAUACUAGACUCUCACAUAUUUUCCAUAAUUCACACACGAUUCGACACACGCUGUAUUACACACGAAAUAAGAAUGAUUAUUAAUAAACUCAAACUAAGUAGUAUACCAAACCAAAGAAUAUUAAACACAGGUAGCUAAAAAAUUAUUUUCUAUUACGGAUCGCAAUUUUACCUGAAUUUAAAUUCCGAAACUUUAGGUAAUAACCUUGUUGCAUUGUAUGUUAAUGACCACCCUUGGAUAAUCCCAUUAAAAAGCAAUUGGUCACUUUUUUAUAUCUAUGAACACAGACCAUACUAUAUAUACCGAAAAAUGACCAUACAACCUUAAUUAAUGUUAUGGGAAUUUAAGUUCAAUAAUAAAUCUAAUUAAUCGUUAAUUUUGAAAUUUGAAUGUCUCAUUUUGUUAAUCUCCAUGGCUUCCAAUAAAUUUAAUUUUCUACUUUUUGUGGAUGUGUGUAAUAUAUCAAAAUUGUCGUCAAAAAUGUGUUUUUCUGUGUUUAAGUGUGUAGCAUAAUUAGAAUCUAGACUAUUGUUUCUCUUUUAUGGCUCUACCUGUUCGUCCAAUAUAAAUUUUAGGACAAGAUCCGCAUUUCAACCUGUAGACACCCGAUUUUUAAGAUUCUGGCCAUUUCGUUUUAUUGUUUUUCAAAAAUUUUCCUAUUGUGUUGUUAGUGCUGAAAGCUAUUUUUAAACCACAUUUUGAUAAAUAUUUUGAAACUGUUUUCAAUAGGUUCUCCUAUUAUUUUGUUGUUGUUUUAAAUUGUUCGUGUUCUGUAUUAGGUUUCGGAUAAAUAUAGCUUAUUAUUGUCUGGAUCUGUUUUUUAUUUAUUUUUAUCUAUAAUAGACGGAUUG